UUUGUGUUUCUAUAUGUGUGUGUAUUUGUAUAUAAAAUGUGUGGAUGUACAUAUGUGUAUAUAUAGAUAUUCAUGUAUAUGUGUAUAUAUAUAUGCAUGUGUGUGUAUGUGUGUUUGUGCAUGUGUGCGUGUUACUAUAUAUAUAUAUAUAUGAGUGUAUAUUUGUUUGUAUUUGUAUAUAAAUGUGUGGAUAUACACAUAUGUGUGUAUAUUAAUGUGUGCAUAUAUAUAAUGUAUAUAUAUAUAUAUAUAUAUAUAUAUAUAUGUGUGUGCAUAUACAUACAUACAUGUGUGUGUGUUCACACUCCACAGUUCACUUUAUGGUUGGACUGAAUUCACAAACCUUCUGUCUUCCUCAUUGGUAAACUCUCUACGAAAUAUAAAUAAAAACCUUGUCCAGCUCCGUAAAUAAACAACAUUGAGAAAAACCUAAGACUUCCAUAGAUUUCAUAUCUUUUCUAGAUGCUUCUGUGUCCCCUAGCCCUUUCCUCUACUCAUCCCUUCUCUCUUCCUCUCCCUGCUAAUUUUUUUGUUUGUGUCUCCAAAUUCUGAUUCAUGCCUAAGCUUAUUUAAAUAUUUUCCUUUGUUUAGAAAUUAACUAGCAGCAUAGCCCGGCGUUGCCCGGGUAUGUAAGAGCCCCUAGUAGGCAACGACUAAUCCCAAUCUAGUCCUUUCCCUCUAGGGAACGAAGGCGCAUGUGUAGAUUGCAAUGUCUUCUCUUCACUCGAAUACUUCUGUGAAUACGAUGUUCCUAGCUGUCCCUUUGGGCGAAAACAUGAAAACAUCAUUGCGCCUCCCAACGCGUGAACAGCCCACGUACAGCCCAGAAAAUGUGUUGCAUAUAAAAAGCUUAGAUUCUCGACCCCAUGUCGAAUUUAUCGAUCUUUUCAGAACUGGGGGAACUUUUCAAACUUUUCGCUGCGUUAGUUUUGGAUUAUGACAUUGGGCUAUGUGUGUGUCAAGUUUCAUCAGAAUCGGUUGAAAGCUGUGGUCAGGGUAAGGGUACAACCUGACAGACACACAGACAGACAAACUGCCGUUUAUAUAGAGAGAGAUAAAUGGACUUUACCAUCAUUCCCCGUUCAUACUUCCCCAAGUGCUCGCACGCGCACACACACAACCUUUUUCUACAUCCAAGGUGAUAAUUCCUCGAAUGAUGUCAUAGAUUCAAGCAGAUGUGGAUGUGUGGUAAAAAGCUUGCUUCCCAAUCACAUGGUUCUGGGUUCAGCCCCACUGUUUGACGCCUUGGGCAAGUGUCUUCUAUAACCUCGGGCCGACCAAAGCCUUGUGAGUGGAUUUAAUAGACAGAAACUGAAAAGAAGCCCGUUGUGUGUGUGUGUGUCCGUGUGUCCAUGUUUGCUCCCUCACCAUUGCUUGGUUCAGAUACUUUACUGCUUCAGUAGACUCUAUCUGACCCAAACAAGCUUGGAAAAGGGGACAUGGAAAUAAUCACUCACACACACACACACACACACACUGGUCAUCAUUAUUGACCCAGUUAUUUUGCUACAAUUUGAUUUUGUCAAACUAAUCUUAAUCCCACACUGGUUUACAAGCAUCCUCUAGAAGUGCUAAAAAAAAGUAUCCCAUCUGGCCUGGCUCUGCAUCAUUUCAGCCGUAACUUCUCUUACACACAUAUAUAAUCUAUGAAGAUGAAGUCAGGACGUAGGAAAGGUAAAUAGGGGUUUGUUGUUUCCAUUAUAUCUUUAUGGGUGUCUCUUAGACCUUCUGAUUCUCUGUUUUCUUCUCUGCGUAUCCUCCUUGUGGAAAUGUUUAGUGUCUGUUUCAGUUGCACGGCUAAGUUCAGCAAUUUAAUCACUAUGUCAACUGAUAGCUGGGUCCUUGCUAAGUGCUUACUGUGGGUUCUGCUUGAGCCUCGAAAUCUAAUUUUCUUUGUGUGUGUGUGUGUGCGUGCGUAUCUAUAUAUAUAUAUAUAUAUAUUUUUUUUUUUUUUUUAAUUUAAAAAUAGGAUAAAAUCUUUAUAAGAAAUUAUCAAGUAGUCAGCGUGAAAAACCUCGUAAGAGAAAAAAAUCUGUAAAUUUUUUCAACUUUGAAAAUACUUAUUUAUAUUAUAUAGAGGGUACUAUUAUUCAUAGGUACCACAUGCUAGGAGGGACUUUUGCAGUCAAAACUACUAAAAUAAACAAAUUGUACCGAAUGCAAAACUUCAAAGCGAGUCAUUUAAAAAACUAAAUUCUGUUUUUAAAUGACUUGCUUUGAAGUUUUGCAUUCGGUACAAUUUGUUUAUUUUAGUAGUUUUGACUGCAAGAGUCCCUCCUAGUGUGCGGUACCUAUGAAUAAUAGUACCCUCUAUAUAAUAUAUAUAUAUAUAUAUAUAUGAGAGGUAUUGGUAUCUAGAAGACUCAAAGAGUGAUGGGUAACGCUAAGUAAGUACUAUGGACAGAUGAAGGGAUAUCCAUAAUAUCCCAGAAAUAGCUGUAAGAUUAUUUCAUUAUAAAUGUCCUGAAAACUCCUCACAGCCUUGGCUUUGUUAUCCCAUUCUGUCUAACACACAUAUAUAUUUAUGAAUGCAUGCAUGUGUGUAUGUAUGUAUGUUUAAAUUUCAUGUUAAAUUGCUUUUGACAAUCAAUUUCAGUCCAUUUUCUAAAUAAUAUAUAUUUUGUAAAUUAUAUUUGAUUCAAAUUUAUUUUACCCACCAAAAAAGGGGAUUUUUAGAAAAAAUUUUAAUUUUGUUGCAUUAGGUUCUAAAGUAAAAUUAAAAUUGUUUUUCUUUCUGUUAAACCUAUUUUGAAAAUUUUUUAAUAAUAUUUAUUUACCAUUCAAGGAACUUAAAUCCCCCCAAAAUUGUGAUCCAGUUUCCAGCUAAAUUCAUCUCGUUUUCCCAUAUUUUCCCCUCCUAUGGCGGAAUUCUUUGAAUGACUGGCAAAAUGCUGAACGGUAUUUCGUCCGUUUUUGCAUUUGGCAUUCAAAUUCCUCUGGUCUCGACUUUGCCUUUCGUCUCUAGCGAGGUCGAUAAAAUAAGUACCAGUUUUGUACUGGAGGAGUCGAUGUAAUCGACAAUGCUCCUUUUCUGAAAUUGCUGUCCUUGGGCCAAAGUAUGAAGCCAUUAUUUAAUCCCUGUUAAUCCUUUGUAAGUCAAGAUUGUCAUCCACACCCUGCUCCCCACCUCCAUCCUAUGCAACCGGCUGUUCUCGUUAAAUUUAUAAAAAUUCGUCUAAAAUAACGAAGCUGAAACCAUUAACCCUGGUCUCUUUGUAUUAUUUUAGACAUUAUUCCCCACCCUUCACUAAAAAAAAUACAAUAAAAAUGAUUUAAAAAGAUUAUUUAAAAAAAUUUCCCAUUCCCGGAUAAGAAAUGUCUUCUAGAUAAUCCUUAUUUGAUUUCUAAUUUUUUCUCAUUUUCGUCCUCCUCCUUCCCCUCCUCUUCCAUUAAUUAACUUGCUGUAUCCUUGAGCAAGUGUCUUCAUCUUGUGUUGCUCUAGUCUUUGUCACCUGAAAACAUGUACCAGCUGCCUGGCCAGUGCAGCUCUCUCUCUCUCCAGCUCACUCUUUCUCUCUCCAGCUCUCUCUUUCUCUCUCUCCAGCUCUCCCUUCUCUCUCUCCAGCUCUCUCUCUCUUUCUCUCCAGCUCUCUCUUUCUCUCUCUCCAGCUCUCUCUCUCUCUCCCCACUUCUCUCUCUCUCUCCCCACCUCUCUCUCUUUCUCUAUCUCUCUCUCUCCAGCUCUCCCUCCUCUCAUGCCCUCAACACCCUGUUGGGUGGCUGGAGAGGAUAUCUACGUCUGUCUGUCUGUCCAACUAUAGAGGUGCCCCAAGCAACUUCAAGACUUAAACACUACCAGGUUCACAAAACGGGGACAGAUGCCUCAGUCUGUUUCGCCUCCCUCGUCCUUAACAAUUUAAUGCCUUAAACAGCUCUACCCAAGAUACAUCAUCAUAGCUUUAGUGUCGCACGUUUCUUACAGUUUGUCCAGCCAAAAGACAAGAAUUCGGUUGCUGCAAAACAACCGUAAAUGAUAAAAUGUUUCUGACUUUUUAAGAUUUUCUUUCUAAACAAACACUGCUGAUGCCAUAAACACGCAAUCAAUCCGGAAAUGUCUUGAGACCUGGUUGAACGCCUUCUUGGUUUGUUAUUUUAGAAUUGUUUAUACAUACAUACAUGUGUGUGUGUGUGUGUAUUUAUAUAUGUGUAUAUAUGUAUAUGUGUCUGUAUAUAUACACAUGUAUAUAUUCAAAU
rnacentral:lncRNA from 1 species